GCAUGCUUACAUUUCAGCGUUUUCACAUUCCAGUUUAACACGUUUGAUUUACAGGUUAUUCUGUUUUUUCUCCCCCUUUACAUUGCUAAAAAACACGACUACAAGAUUUAUAUAGGCACAAUCAAAAUUCCAAGGGAUGAAAGGGUUAGUGGUAAAACAGCACUGUUUCCCAAAGUAUAAUAAACUGAUAGC